rnacentral:rRNA from 1 species
CAUUUUAGUUUGCUUGCAAACUGAAGAUGGCGACCGGCGCACGGGUGAGUAACACGUAUCCAACCUGCCGAUAACUCCGGAAUAGCCUUUCGAAAGAAAGAUUAAUACCGGAUAGCAUACGAAUAUCGCAUGAUAUUUUUAUUAAAGAAUUUCGGUUAUCGAUGGGGAUGCGUUCCAUUAGUUUGUUGGCGGGGUAACGGCCCACCAAGACUACGAUGGAUAGGGGUUCUGAGAGGAAGGUCCCCCACAUUGGAACUGAGACACGGUCCAAACUCCUACGGGAGGCAGCAGUGAGGAAUAUUGGUCAAUGGGCGAGAGCCUGAACCAGCCAAGUAGCGUGAAGGAUGAAGGCUCUAUGGGUCGUAAACUUCUUUUAUAUGGGAAUAAAGUUUUCCACGUGUGGAAUUUUGUAUGUACCAUAUGAAUAAGGAUCGGCUAACUCCGUGCCAGCAGCCGCGGUAAUACGGAGGAUCCGAGCGUUAUCCGGAUUUAUUGGGUUUAAAGGGAGCGUAGGUGGAUUGUUAAGUCAGUUGUGAAAGUUUGCGGCUCAACCGUAAAAUUGCAGUUGAAACUGGCAGUCUUGAGUACAGUAGUGGUGGGCGGAAUUCGUGGUGUAGCGGUGAAAUGCUUAGAUAUCACGAAGAACUCCGAUUGCGAAG